rnacentral:rRNA from 1 species
ACGCUCGACACCUACGGGCAGCAGUGGGGAAUAUUGCACAAUGGGGGAAACCCUGAUGCAGCGACGCCGCGUGAGCGAAGAAGUAUUUCGGUAUGUAAAGCUCUAUCAGCAGGGAAGAAAAUGACGGUACCUGACUAAGAAGCACCGGCUAAAUACGUGCCAGCAGCCGCGGUAAUCUGAGCGGGCUGGCAAGGC